GACAUAGGUGGCGAACGUUAUCCGGAUUUAUUGGGCGUAAAGGAUGCGUAGGUGGUGGAAUAAGUUAUUGGUCAAAGUCAAGCUCAACUUGGCGGAAGCUGGUAAUACUAUUCUACUUGAGGAUAGGAGAGGUUGGCGGAAUUCUGUGUGGAGCGGUGAAAUGCGUUGAUCUACAGAGGAACACCAAAAAAGGCGAAGGCAGCCAACUAGUCUAUUCCUGACAGUGAGGCAUGAAAGCGUGGGGAGCAAACCGG
rnacentral:rRNA from 1 species